rnacentral:lncRNA from 1 species
AUGUUAACCUUUUUUAUUGUUGAGGGUAGAUACAAGUUGAGAUUGUAAAAUAGGAAAGUGAACCUCAGAAGCUGAAAAGAAACAGAAACUCAUCUGUGAGAGAAAUAAUAAAAAUGGAGAAUAACAGAAGUGAGUAGGCUUCUUUUGGACCAUCCCACAAAAAAGUUUUAUUCAGGACUUUGCAAAUUAUUUACUCAAUGAAGAUUUAAUUAAUGAUCAAAGCAAUGAGAGUGUAAAAGGGAAUGAUUUCUAUCAAAUUCAUAACUCAGAAACCACAGAGGCAACUGAUGCCUGCCUGGGAGACAAGAAAAUUCCAUUCCUGAAAUUACCCAAUGGGAGAAGAAAGCGAAAGGAAAACCUGGGGUCUUUGCUGUGCUUGUUGGAGAUGGAUUCUGGAACAUGGCUCUGUUUGUCUUUCUUGCAGCAGGACAGUGUUUCCUUAAAACACAGUCUCGUCC